GGGUAGAGGAAGGCGGGUUCCUGGCUCGGCUCUACCACCAUGGAUCUAGGUGGGCUCAAUGUCAUCACAAGGGUGCUUAAGAGGGAAAGAGGAAGCCAUGAGGGUCAGAGUCAAAGGAAGACUUGAAGAUACUACACUGCGGACUUUACAGAUGAAGGAAGGGGCGAAAACCAAGAAUGUGGGAAGCCUCUAGAAGCUAGAGAAGGCAAGGAAACAAAUUUUCCACUAGAGCCUCCAGAAGGAACACAGCCCUGCUGACCCACUGUAAUGUCUGACCUCUAGAUGUGUAAGGGUAGUAAGACUGAAAGUCUCAGAAAGGCACUGUUACAUUCUUAUUCCACAACUAUGCAACUCGAAACUGGGGUCCUCAGCAGUGAGCGAGGGGUGAGAGAAGACACUGUAUAAACAUGGCACAUCCUCCUGGAAAGUCAACUUUACUCAAAGCUUUAGAAACCCAGCUCAAACUAGCUGAAGCAGAAAAGACACUACUGCGCCUAUAAGUUGAAACUUUGGAGGGAUAAAUUUCAGAGGUGUGGCUAGAUCCAAGGGCUCUCUGGAAAACUCUGUGAAAAAAAUGCUUCCUCAAGUCCAGAAACCAGAAGCUCAGGAAAUUCUUGCUUGGUUCCUCUUGUUAGAGGCAAAGAUUAUUCAACGACCUACAGGGUAGCGUUUGGCUAACAUAAUCUGCCUUCCAAUGGAGUAAGAAUGUCUGUACUCUUUCCUUCACCUACCCCCAAGACAUGGAGGCGUCUAAAAGAUAAAUAAAACUUGGCAACUGACCGAAGGAGGAAGAGGGGAUUUCAGGCAAAAUCAACGCUGUUCACUACGAGGAGAUUUCAGAAAGGUUGCCUGCUUCUGGGGAGCAUAGUCCCUGAUUCCUCAAGACAUACGUUUAUUCUUUUCUUCAAUGUAUUUGCCUGCAGUCAAAACAAAACCAUUACCUUUAGCCAAGUUCAUACAUUUCAGCCAAAUCCAUAUGCAUCGGAUCAGUUCUGUAGGUUAUGGGUGAGCAUGAACAUAUAAAAGAGGCACCUGCCUGUGCCUAUCUACUCCAUGGAGUUUGAAAAGGGGCCACUUAUGGAGAAUGUCUUUAGGGACAGAACCAACCACCCUGUCUUUCCUCCAACUCUCAAAGUAACUUCUGGCUUUAAUCCUCAUGUGUCUAUGCUGGAGUUUAAGAAAAAUGUUUUUCAUAGAAUUCAUGUGUAUGA
rnacentral:lncRNA from 1 species